rnacentral:rRNA from 1 species
AUUGAACGCUGGAGGCAGGCCUAACACAUGCAAGUCGCGCGAGCGGCGGACGGGUGAGUAAUGUAUGGGGCCUGCCCGAUAGAGGGGGCUAACUACUGGAUACGGUGGCUAAUGCCGCAUACUAUCGGAUUACCCAUAUGGGAUUAGCUAGUAGGUGGGGUAAAGGCUCACCUAGGCGACGAUCUCUAGCUGGUCUGAGAGGAUGAUCAGCCACAUUGGGACUGAGACACGGCCCAGGUCCCAAGGGAGGUAGCAUUGGGAGAGAUUGCACAAUGGGCGAAAGCCUGAUAAAGCCAUGCCGCGUGUAUGAAGAAGGCGUUGGGGUUUUAAAGUACUUUAAGCUGGGAGGCAGUACCCGCAGAAGAAGCACCGACUAACUCCGUGCCAGCAGCCGCGGUAAUAC